AGUUCUACAAUACUUUUUAAACGUUGCGUAAUAAGCUGUAUGAUAGGCGGACCGAGGAAGAAAAUACACAGAUUUAGUGUUCUAGUGCCCAGCGGUUGAUGGCCCACAAUCACUGUAGCGAUUGAUCGCCAUAAGAGAGACCCGUCCAAUACUUCUGAUUUAAAUUGUUAAACUUAUGUACAAUACAGUAGGUUUGAAGUAACUUGAAUUGCUAAUGAUAUAUAUAAUUUUUGCAGUAUAGAUUGAGCAGGUUCUAAUUUUGUGAGAAUAAUGGCCUACAAAGAUACUCAUCGUAUGUUUCUACAGUCUUUCAUGUCCAGGGGAAUCUUAAAUGUAAACGAUGUCUUCAAAUUGCUAGAAAGUUGCUGUGACAAGUAUGGAGAGGUGAUUGAAGAUAAAAGGCAGCAUUUGUUGAGAUAUGUUCACAGUAUCAAUGAUGUUAUAAGAGUUUUUGGGAUGGAAAUACGAAAAGUAAUUGAUGAAGUGGAUGGUACCAGUCAUUAUGGUCUUGU